ACCCACACUAAUGUAACGAUUCUCGUAUGAUCACCGAAGUUAAGCAAUGUCAAGCGUGGUCAGUAUAGAUGGGCGACCGCUUGGGAAUACCAGAUGCUGUAAG